UGGGGAAUAUUGCACAAUGGAGGGAACUCUGAUGCAGCGACGCCGCGUGAACGAAGAAGGCUUUCGAGUCGUAAAGUUCUUUUAUAUGGGAAGAUAAUGACGGUACCAUAAGAAGAAGCCCCGGCUAACUACGUGCCAGCAGCCGCGGUAAUACGUAGGGGGCUAGCGUUGUCCGGAAUCACUGGGCGUAAAGGGUUCGCAGGCGGAAAUGCAAGUCAGGUGUAAAAGGCAGUAGCUUAACUACUGUAAGCAUUUGAAACUGCAUAUCUUGAGAAGAGUAGAGGUAAGUGGAAUUUUUAGUGUAGCGGUGAAAUGCGUAGAUAUUAAAAAGAAUACCGGUGGCGAAGGCGACUUACUGGGCUCAUUCUGACGCUGAGGAACGAUAGCGUGGGUAGCAAACAGG
rnacentral:rRNA from 1 species